rnacentral:rRNA from 1 species
ACGAACGCUGGCGGCGUGCUUCACACAUGCCAGUCGAACGGAAAGGCCCUGCUUUUGUGGGGUGCUCGAGUGGCGAACGGGUGAGUAACACGUGAGUAACCUGCCCUUGACUUUGGGAUAACUUCAGGAAACUGGGGCUAAUACCGGAUAGGAGCUCCUGCCGCAUGGUGGGGGUUGGAAAGUUUCGGCGGUUGGGGAUGGACUCGCGGCUUAUCAGCUUGUUGGUGGGGUAGUGGCUUACCAAGGCUUUGACGGGUAGCCGGCCUGAGAGGGUGACCGGCCACAUUGGGACUGAGAUACGGCCCAGACUCCUACGGGAGGCAGCAGUGGGGAAUAUUGCACAAUGGGCGGAAGCCUGAUGCAGCAACGCCGCGUGCGGGAUGACGGCCUUCGGGUUGUAAACCGCUUUCGCCUGUGACGAAGCGUGAGUGACGGUAAUGGGUAAAGAAGCACCGGCUAACUACGUG